rnacentral:rRNA from 1 species
CACGUAGGGUGCGAGCGUUGUCCGGAAUUAUUGGGCGUAAAGAGCUCGUAGGCGGUGUGUCGCGUCGGCCGUGAAAACUUGCAGCUUAACUGUGGGCGUGCGGUCGAUACGGGCAUCACUGGAGUUCGGCAGGGGAGACUGGAAUUCCUGGUGUAGCGGUGAAAUGCGCAGAUAUCAGGAGGAACACCGAUGGCGAAGGCAGGUCUCUGGGCCAUAACUGACGCUGAGAAGCGAAAGCAUGGGGAGCGAACAGG